GCUUCUUCAUCUCAAGGCUGGUGCUGUUUCCUUGGUGGGGCUCCAGGUCAAGUGUGGUCUGCAUUAAGGUCCUCCCGGGUGGAUGCUUGUGAAUGACCUGGGUGUGCACAGAGCAGAGUGGGGCUCCAGAGCCUGUACAUGUUGCUGGGUGUGCAGUAAACACACAGAAAACAGUAUAUGCCCACCCUGCUCGUGAAGAGGGAGUUGCUGAGUCUACACUCUGUGCCAUCUACCAUGCAAUUCACCACAGUAAUUUCGAAUAGCUUCUUGGGUCUUGCAUCAUUUGUGAAAGUGAAGCAAACCUUCCUCUACUGUACAGAGUGUGUAUGCACUUCGCAGCGAGGAACGCGCCCACGUUGCUCUAGAUGGAAGACCUCCGAAACACAGGUCUCCGCAGGCCUGUAACCUUGGCUGAGGCGCAUGCUCAGUUCAAACUCAGCAUCAUCAGCAUUUCAGCCCCUUCUUUGCAGCUGCACUCUCUGGGGCCAAAAAUAAAUACGGU
rnacentral:lncRNA from 1 species